UCUGAUAUCAUCUAGCUCAAGUAGGAACUUUCUGCUCCAAUGUUUGCUAUGAAAGGUUAUAACUAAUACAUCUUCGAUCAGUAUUCCGAUUUCCUUGCCUGGUAUAUUUCAGUCCCUUGUGAAAUGAAUCGUUUAUGUGUAUGAAAGUUUUUAGAAUAUCAAAAAAAUAUUUAGUUUUAGUGUCCAGUUCACUGCCAAUUCUCUUACUGCUUACCAUGCAAAUAAAUUAUCAUGUGGAUUGACUAUGCCUUGCUUACAUUGCAUUGGUUUAUUUUGCUAUUUGUGGCCUAUAGUAAACUCAUGUAUCAUGGAUGGUUACUUUGAUUUUUUUAAUGUAAACAGUUUCUCAAACCUUCCUACUAAUCUGACCAUUAUCUGCUUAAUUACAACAUUUGGACCGUCACCCUCGCACCAAGGCACCCAGUCGGCUCGCCGCAAGUACAGCUACGCCACCGCCUCCCCGGGGGGCUGCAAGGUGAAGUGGACGGCCGAGGAGAAGCCGCACGGUGGGGUCGGGCUCUCAAGUGGGAGGCGGAGCUCGCCUCCCACAACGACGACCGCGUCGAUCGCAAGUGGAAGUGGGAGCCCAAGUCCAAGCCCGGUGCCGCCGGCAAGGCCAAGAUCAAGCUCGAGGAAGCCAGCGAGGAUGACAAGAAUAAGCUGGAGAGGAAGUGCACGUAGAUCGAGGAGGUCCUCGCCGGCUACGAUGCCAUCUUCAAGAUAUGUAGUUCUUCCCGUCGCUGGUCCGGAUCUGUUACUGAGCUCAUCGACCUGUGGGUGCUGCUUAUUUUGGUUGAUCUUGUUGGAUCCGUGGCGUCCUUCACGUCUUCGUCCAUGUCCAGGGAACUGCAGGUUGAUGGUCGAGCUGCAAUCUAAAUUUGGAGCGUGUCCUUUUGUUGGUGCCGUCGUUCUCUCCUCCAUGACCGUCGUCGUCACAAGCCCAAGUAUCUUGGCUGGGUAUCGACAUAAUUGGUGCACCUAGUUAUUGCAGAGCAGUCGAACGAGUACCUCAAACUGAUACACACUACUUAUGGUGGUCUUCUAAUUGAACGGGACAUUUACAGAAAUUUAAUUUGACCGGAGAAGCUCUCGGGACACUCGGCACCAAAGAGAUUCCUGGUUCUAUCAUCUAUUGCUACUCUCUGUUCUUCUUUUAUCGUCUUCAGGUGAGACGUGAUCUUUAGCCUGCAUCUUUUGUUGUCAUUUCUGGACUAGCUACCUCCUGAUAUACAAAUGCAGUAGGGUCAAUUCAUUUUGGGUUGAUAAGUGUGUGCUUAGAGUAUAGUAGAAUUUUAUUAAGUUACUGUUAGUCGGUAAAUACUUUUUACUUUUGAAUGGAUGCCUUUUAACUUUGAAGGUGAGCCCUCGUCUAAUCGUGUGCCACAGUUUUACUAUCGAAUGGAUAUUUUUUUGUAAAUUUUUGAAUGGAUCAUGGCCAUGCAUAAUUUCAGUUUGGGCUGGAUUUUGGAACUGACAAACAUCAGUUGUAUAUGUGUAUUCAGGUUCAGAAAAGAAAGGGUAUUCAAACUAUUCUCAUUUCUCUAUUAAAUCAAAGAUGAUAAUGACAUCGACAAAGGUCUGUAUGCUCCUGUUGUCAAGUCUACUGAUUUUUUAUUCUUAUUUUAGCAAAGUCUCCCUGGUGAAAGCAUUCUUCGAUGCCAAGUAGCCAGUGAGCUUGCCAACGAGAUACGGAGUAGCAUUUAUUGUGACUUUUCCUCUCAUGUAAACAUGCAUUUAUUUCGGACAUGAAGAAAAACCACACAUGUUAUAAAAUGUUUUCCACUGCAGGUUGUUUUUGGAGGAUUAGUUUUGCAUAUAUUCUAUUUUUAAUAAACAUUAAAUGCUAGGUUCAUUUCAACCUGAACCGUAUUGUUUGGAGAUGUAGUUUAUAGUAAGUUGUUGAUUACCAACUGUUCGGGCAAAAAAAUGCAUGUUUAGGCAGAUUUAGCUUUUGAACUUCUCUCGAGAUAUGUCCCAGACAUCAUAUUUGAAAUGGCUUCUAUUUUCUAAAUACGAGAGACUGGACAUGGCAGUAUGUAAAAAUGUGUCGAUGUUACUUUUCAUUUAUAUUCACAUGCUGUUGUAGUGUUCCAGGCUUGAAAAUGAUAAAACAUUGUGGGUGGCUGCAACUGACCGACUCGAGCUCGCUUCAGCCUCCUCCGAUCCUGCAGCUACUGUCUCCCCAAGCAAAGUCAACCUACAACAACAAGCGUGAUGGAUGCGCCAUGGGGCAAGUCCGUUUGAUGAAAGGUGUGGACGGAAGAGCGACAAUAAUUACGAGGUUGGUCAAAGAUCGAAAGAAAUCUCUUGUGUGUCUUCGGUUUCGACACUACGCAUAGGUUCAUGUGAUGUGGCGUAUGAAAGGUCGAACGUCAAGACGAUCAGGUGGAUCUAUCAAAAAAUAUGCUUCUAUGGAACUAUGUAGGUUUUUGCCUCACAUUGCCGCUGUGGCUUGCUUUUGCUGUAUGAAAAGUACGCUAUAUGUAUCGAACUUGAUGUAGAUUGAUCGAGCUUGCUCACUUUUGGCACAAGUAUAUAUUUCCCAUUUCCUA